CGAAAGCCUGACGGAGCAACGCCGCGUGAGGGAGGAAGGCCCUUGGGUUGUAAACCUCUUUUGAUGGGGAAGAAUUCUGACGGUACCCAUCGAAUCAGCAUCGGCUAACUCCGUGCCAGCAGCCGCGGUAAUACGGAGGAUGCAAGCGUUAUCCGGAAUUAUUGGGCGUAAAGCGUCCGCAGGUGGCUUUUCAAGUCGGCUGUCAGAGCAUGGAGCUUAACUCCAUAGAGGCGGUGGAAACUGAAAGGCUAGAGGCCGGUAGGGGUAGUGGGAAUUCCCAGUGUAGCGGUGAAAUGCGUAGAGAUUGGGAAGAACAUCGGUGGCGAAAGCGCACUACUGGGCAGGACCUGACACUGAGGGACGAAAGCUAGGGGAGCGAAAGGGAUUAGAUACCCCUGUAGUCCUAGCCGUAAACGAUGGAGACUAGGCGUAGCUUGUAUCGACCCGAGCUGUGCCGAAGCUAACGCGUUAAGUCUCCCGCCUGGGGAGUACGCACGCAAGUGUGAAACUCAAAGGAAUUGACGGGGGCCCGCACAAGCGGUGGAGUAUGUGGUUUAAUUCGAUGCAACGCGAAGAACCUUACCAGGGCUUGACAUCUGUAGAACCUGAGUGAAAGCUUGGGGUGCCUUCGGGAGCUACAAGACAGGUGGUGCAUGGCUGUCGUCAGCUCGUGUCGUGAGAUGUUGGGUUAAGUCCCGCAACGAGCGCAACCCUCGUUCUUAGUUGCCAGCAUUAAGUUGGGCACUCUAGGGAGACUGCCGGUGACAAACCGGAGGAAGGUGGGGAUGACGUCAAGUCAGCAUGCCCCUUACGUCCUGGGCAACACACGUACUACAAUGGUCGAGACAGAGGGCAGCGACCUCGCAAGAGCAAGCGAAUCUCAUCAAACUCGGCCUCAGUUCAGAUUGCAGGCUGCAACUCGCCUGCAUGAAGGAGGAAUCGCUAGUAAUCGCCGGUCAGCAUACGGCGGUGAAUUCGUUCCCGGGCCUUGUACACACCGCCCGUCACACCAUGGGAGCUGGCCACGCCCGAAGUCGUUACCCUAACCCCGAAAGGGGAGGGGGAUGCCGAAGGCAGGGCUAGUGACUGGGGUGAAGUCGUAACAAGGUAGCCGUACCGGAAGGUGUGGCUGGAUCACCUCCUUU
rnacentral:rRNA from 1 species